UACAGAGGGUGCGAGCGUUGUCCGGAAUCACUGGGCGUAAAGGGCGCGUAGGCGGCUUGAUAAGCGUGCGGUGAAAGCCCGGGGCUCAACCCGGGUCGGCCGUGCGAACUGUCGAGCUGGAGCACUGUAGAGGCAGGUGGAAUUCCGGGUGUAGCGGUGGAAUGCGUAGAGAUCCGGAAGAACACCGGUGGCGAAGGCGGCCUGCUGGGCAGUGGCUGACGCUGAGGCGCGACAGCGUGGGGAGCAAACAGG
rnacentral:rRNA from 1 species